GAUGAAGAACGCAGCGAAAUGCGAUAAGUAGUGUGAAUUGUAGAAUUCAGUGAAUCAUCGAAUCUUUGAACGCACAUUGCGCCCUUUGGUAUUCCUUAGGGCAUGCCUGUUCGAGCGUCAUUUAAACCUUCAAGCUAAGCUUGGUGUUGGGUGACUGUCCGCUUCACGGCGGACUCGCCUCAAAAUUAUUGGCGGCCGGUACAUUGGCUUCGAGCGCAGCAGAAACGCGAACUCGGGCCCGUCGUAUUGGCUCCCAGAAGCUAUCUUCACAAUUUUGACCUCGGAUCAGGUAGGGAUACCCGCUGAACUUAAGCAUAUCAAUAAGCGGAGGA
rnacentral:misc_RNA from 1 species